rnacentral:lncRNA from 1 species
GGUGAGGUUUUCCUUCUAGUCAUUUUGCUCAGUGCAGAGUGGCCAAAAGCAAGUUGUAUUGGGAAAAAGAGAAAAAGAGAGGAGAGAAAGAAGGAAAGAAAAGAGAAAGAGAAAAAAAAGGGAAGAAAAAAAACGAAAAAAAAAAAAAAGAAGAAAAAGAAAGGAGAAAAAAAAGGGGGUGGGGGAAGGAAACAAAUCAAAAAGCAAAACAAAACAAAACAAAACAAAACAAAACAAAACAAAACAAAAAAAAAGAACCACGGGGAGUAUCUUCUGAUUCUGUGUACUUUAAGUCCCUUGGCUUCUCCUAGAAGUUGUCAGUCCAGCUGGUCUUCUGGGGGAGGGGCCUGUUGUGCUGGUUUUCAGGUGUUAGCAGUUGGGGGAGCUGCUGUGCCCCUGCCUGGUGCAGGGCUCAGUGGGGGUUGUUUGCCCCGUGAGGCCGCAGGAGGAACAGCCCCAGUGGCGGGGCAGCUCUGGAAACCUGGAUUCAGCUCCGGCAGGAACUCCGUCUGCAGGGCCUGGAGGCUCCGGGGCGGAGCCGCUGAUCUGCUCAGCUGGGGCAGGAGCGUCCUCGCUGUCCUGGGCCCUCCCGGCCUCUGCCUGUCCCGGAGGAGGCCGGAUCCUGGGCUGUGUCCCGGCGCCCUGUGCUCCGGGGCCUGCGCUGUUGGAUUCGCGCUCCCGGGCCGCGCAGCCCCCUCCGCGGAGCUGCCGCCCGAGCCCCUCCGAGCUGCUCCGGGUCCCGCGGUGCGCGCUGCAGCCCUUAGGGAGCUCGGCGCACUCUCCUGGGGCGCAGUUGCUGUUACUGUCCCCGGGAGCCCGAGGGCAUCCCCGCCCUCCUGGGUCCUGCUCCAGCUCCCCACGAGCCCCUUUCCCCCGGGAAGGUCGGUGCAGCUCCUGCUCCUCCGGGACGGGGCUCUCCUGUCCUGGGGACACUCGCCCCGGCCUCAGCCCGGCCUCUCGCGGGCCCCUCCCCCUUGGAGGCCUUUGUUCCUUUCUUUCUUUCUCCCCGUCUUCCUACCUUGA